AAGCCAUGCACUAUAUGCAGCAUCGUCUUCAUUGCUGCUGUGUUUCUGGUGUGUUACAACUGUGUGGGAAACUGCAUCUUUUGGGGAUGUCCAGACGAAGCGUGUACAGAUUCCUUGUGCAGUAAUGUGGGACUGUAGGAAAAAUAGAAGCCUACAAACAUUUAUCUACAUAGGCAAUGCAGAUGAAUGCACAGAUUAUUUUUCCAUAUGGGAUAUGUAACAAAAAUGAUUCAUAGUUAUUUUCCUCCAUAAAAUUUCAUUGUGAUUCAUCUUUAAUUUUAUAAAAUAUCAGAUAUCAAAUAUGCAAUGUUUUGGGAGGGCUUUUUGUGUACAUUUUAAAGUUUUAGAGUUAUUCUUUAAUUGUUUUCAUAUUGAACACAACAACUGUAUUGGUAUGUAGAAUCACCAAAUUUCCAUAUCCCUUGGUAGUAUGUAACGUUAACAUAAGCCUAUCUCAAAAUUAAUGUCUUGGUGUAAACCAUUUUAAAAUAUAAGUUAACAUGGAUUGUUGCCUUAUUAAAUGGUAGUUGUGUGAUAUGAUAUAUCAUUGGCAAGUUUGAUAUGUUUUAUUUCAAAAUGAAAAUUAUGACCUAGCCUGUUUAUUUAAGUUGAAGAGUCAAAGAGUUGUUGUUACAUUGACAUAGUGAAUGUAGUUACACAGUUGUUACAAUAAGCUCAUGCACUUAAUUACUGAUGCUUUAUAAAUCUAACUGCUUUACGUGGAUUGUAUAUGGAUUGAAGUUUUGGGGCCUUGCUUUUUAAGGGUUGCUUUGGUUGCACUGUUAUAUGUUCCAUGAUGUUUUGUUGACUACAUUUUGUUAAUACCUGUAUAUAUAUAUCCUUAAUUCUAUCAUGUUUAUGGACUUUUGAUUUUCCUUAUUUAAAUCAUUCAAAUAAAUAAUUAUUUAUUGUU
rnacentral:misc_RNA from 1 species